AUCCAGAAGACGAGUCCCAAAUAAGACGAAACGCGUGUUGUCCUGGAU
rnacentral:hammerhead_ribozyme from 1 species